GAUGAACGCUAGCGGCAGGCUUAAUACAUGCAAGUCGAGGGGCAGCGCAGUGUAGCAAUACAUGGGCGGCGACCGGCAAACGGGUGCGGAACACGUACAGAACCUUCCUUCGAGCGGGGAAUAGCCCAGAGAAAUUUGGAUUAAUACCCCAUAGUAUAGUGGAGAGGCAUCUCUUUACUAUUAAAGAUUAUCACUUGAAGAUGGCUGUGCGGCUGAUUAGGAGGUUGGCGGGGUAACGGGCCCACCCAAAGCCUGCGAUCAGUAACUGGUGUGAGAGCACGACCAGUCACACGGGC
rnacentral:rRNA from 1 species